GAAAUGCGAUAAGUAAUGUGAAUUGCAGAAUUCCGUGAAUCAUCGAAUCUUUGAACGCACAUUGCGCCCUCCGGUAUUCCGGAGGGCAUGCCUGUCCGAGCGUCAUUGCAACCCCCUCAAGUCCGGCUUGUGUGUUGGGCCUGCCGUCCUCCCCCCGGUGGACGGGCCCGAAAGGCAGUGGCGGCGUCGUGAUCCGGUGCCCGAGCGUAUGGGAACGUCUUCGAACCCGCUCCGGAGGCCCGGCCGGCGCUGGCCCGUCAUCUUAUAAUUUCUCCUCAGGUUGACCUCGGAUCAGGUAGGGAUACCCGCUGAACUUAA
rnacentral:misc_RNA from 1 species